GAGUUUGAUCUUGGCUCAGGACGAACGCUGGCGGCGUGCCUAACACAUGCAAGUUGAGCGGAGAUAUGGAGAGCUUGCUCUUUAUAUUUUAGCAGCGAACGGGUGAGUAACACGUAGAUAAUUUGUCCUAUAUUGGGGGAUAGGCCGAUGAAAAUUGGAUUAACUACCGCGAUACAGUCUAAUUUAACCGCAUGGGGAGAUAGUGGAAAGGGGAAACUUGAUAUAGGAGGAGUUCUAGCGGCAC
rnacentral:rRNA from 1 species